rnacentral:sRNA from 1 species
ACUGUUGCUCUCAUAUAUGCUUAAGAAUACGUUAUCAUCCCCCAAUAACCUGAUAAGCUCAAGAAUAUUUUCUCCCCAUCUCCCCCGUGCAAGCGCGCCAUCUCUAUCGUAUAAGCUGGCUGCAACGAACACCUUUUCGUUUCGCGGGUUCCCCCUGCCUGGGGACUGUGAAUUCAAUACGGUAUGUCGGAGGGAAUUGUAAUGGACGGGAGGAUGUGUAUAGGAAGGGCGGAUGAUAAACGUGAGGAGCGCGAGGGCGGAUAUUAUUCCGCAGGACGCGAAACAAAUAAAACAGAGCCGGCGUAAGGUAAGACGACGGCGAAACGUAGCAUGCUUGCUUUUCUUCCAGGAAGUUUGGCCUGGUCGGCGACCUCGAGGGGGAUGCUGUUGUCCGGUGAAGAAUGGGAGGAGAGAACGUAAUCGGGAUAUCAGAGAAGCGGCUUGGUGUGGGUAGCUGUGGCUGGAUGUAGGAUGAGGAGAUUCGAAAUCGGCAGCAUCCAGGUCAAAGCUAUCUCGAGACUCGAGGGACGGACGGUUGAGGAGUUCAUAUUCAUCUGGAUGAAGCGGUCGUGAAGACAUUGCUGUGUGCGUGGGACGGCAUAGAUGUCUAGACAUCCAGCGUGUUGACGAAAUAUUUUCAAGCGUUAGUUCGCCCAGUCAGCAG